rnacentral:lncRNA from 1 species
GUUACGUUGAGCGAGGCACUGAACCUCUCUGAGCCUCAUUCUCUUAUUUGCAAAAUGGGGAUGAUGAUAUCUACUUGCAGGGCCGUCACUUGGACUGAUGAACUGCGGAAACAAGUGGGAUCCAGCAUGCACUCAAUCAAGGUGGCUCCAUCGUCAUUAUGGCCAUCCACAACGUCACCAUCAUCAGUUUGCUGUGUAGGAAGAGACAGUCGCCUUUCAGGCAGUGAUUCUAAGCAUGAAGAGUCUGGGGAAGCACAUCGACGUGAAAGGGAACAAGCAGGAAGUGCGUUUCUCCAUGGGGCCUGGGAGUCAGUGCUGACGCCCAGCCUGAAACGCACAGUCGCUUGCAGUUGUGGUGGAGGAGGAAGCCAUGGAUGCCAUCGAUGACGUGUGGCCAGGUCUGGAAACGAGGCAUCAGAGAAGCAGAAGGACGGGGACGUGAGAUCUGAUGCUGGAGUGCUGAGAGCCAUACCUGUGUCUCCCGUUUCUGCUCCUAGAGAAUCUGAAGGCUGACAGAAGGUUUCAGACUUGCGUCUGGGUGCCACACUAGCAAGUUCUGGGAGCCCACUGCAAGCCGAGGAAUGGAGUCAACAGCAAGACUGGAUUCUCGUGGAUGUGGUGCAGCCCCAUUUUC